UGGGGAAUAUUGGACAAUGGGGGCAACCCUGAUCCAGCAAUGCCGCGUGAGUGAUGAAGGCCUUAGGGUUGUAAAGCUCUUUCGCCCGCGACGAUGAUGACGGUAGCGGGAGAAGAAGCCCCGGCUAACUUCGUGCCAGCAGCCGCGGUAAUACGAAGGGGGCGAGCGUUGUUCGGAAUUACUGGGCGUAAAGGGCGCGCAGGCGGCCUAAGAAGUCAGAUGUGAAAGCCCCGGGCUCAACCUGGGAAUUGCAUUUGAUACUCUGAGGCUUGAGGACGGGAGAGGAGAGUGGAAUUCCCAGUGUAGAGGUGAAAUUCGUAGAUAUUGGGAAGAACACCGGUGGCGAAGGCGGCUCUCUGGACCGUAUCUGACGCUGAGGCGCG
rnacentral:rRNA from 1 species